CCACAGUAAAGAAAUUGGCACAAAGAACUACGCUAGUUACAUAAAUGAAGAGAAAAUAUAGGAAAAUGUCAAUAGAAACUCCACCACAAUAAAUGACGCAAAAGUUGAAGAGAUGAAAAGAGUGUGUGUUUUGAAAGAAUAUUGGCGCGCAUUUACUAACAACAAAAAUCAGCAACAAAACAACCAAAGUAAUAAACUACAAAAGC
rnacentral:lncRNA from 1 species